UACGUAGGGACCGAGCGUUGUUCGGAAUCAUUGGGCGUAAAGCGCGCGUAGGUGGCUUCGUAAGUCCGUUGUGAAAGUCAAAGGCUCAACCUUUGAAAGCCGAUGGAUACUGUGAAGCUAGAGUACGGAAGAGGCGAGUGGAAUUCCUGGUGUAGCGGUGGAAUGCGCAGAUAUCAGGAGGAACACCAAUAGCGAAGGCAGCUCGCUGGGACGUUACUGACACUGAGGCGCGAAAGCGUGGGGAGCGAACAGG
rnacentral:rRNA from 1 species